rnacentral:rRNA from 1 species
UACAGAGGGUUCAAGCGUUGUUCGGAAUCAUUGGGCGUAAAGGGUGCGUAGGCGGCGCGGUAAGUCGGGCGUGAAAUCUCGGAGCUUAACUCCGAAAUUGCAUUCGAUACUGCCGUGCUUGAGGACUGGAGAGGAGACUGGAAUUCAUGGUGUAGCAGUGAAAUGCGUAGAGAUCAUGAGGAAGACCAGUGGCGAAGGCGGGUCUCUGGACAGUUCCUGACACUGAGGCGCGAAGGCCAGGGGAGCAAACGGG